UGGCGGACGGGUGAGUAACGCGUGGGUAACCUGCCUCAUACAGGGGGAUAACAGUUAGAAAUGACUGCUGAUACCGCAUAAGACCACAGCACCGCAUGGUGCAGGGGUAAAAACUCCGGUGGUAUGAGAUGGACCCGCGUCUGAUUAGGUAGUUGGUGGGGUAACGGCCUACCAAGCCGACGAUCAGUAGCCGACCUGAGAGGGUGACCGGCCACAUUGGGACUGAGACACGGCCCAA
rnacentral:rRNA from 1 species